GAUGAACGCUGGCGGCGUGCCUAAUACAUGCAAGUCGAGCGAACAGACGAGGAGCUUGCUCCUCUGACGUUAGCGGCGGACGGGUGAGUAACACGUGGAUAACCUACCUAUAAGACUGGGAUAACUUCGGGAAACCGGAGCUAAUACCGGAUAAUAUAUUGAACCGCAUGGUUCAAUAGUGAAAGACGGUUUUGCUGUCACUUAUAGAUGGAUCCGCGCCGCAUUAGCUAGUUGGUAAGGUAACGGCUUACCAAGGCAACGAUGCGUAGCCGACCUGAGAGGGUGAUCGGCCACACUGGAACUGAGACACGGUCCAGACUCCUACGGGAGGCAGCAGUAGGGAAUCUUCCGCAAAGGGCGAAAGCCUGACGGAGCAACGCCGCGUGAGUGAUGAAGGUCUUCGGAUCGUAAAACUCUGUUAUUAGGGAAGAAUAAAUGUGUAAGUAACUAUGCACGUCUUGACGGUACCUAAUCAGAAAGCCACGGCUAACUACGUG
rnacentral:rRNA from 1 species